CAGCAUGACUACGUUGGGCCAACGUUGGUUAAAGGUUGUACGGUUGGCUGAUAGUUGGCGUUGGCAAGGCAAUGUUGGGCCAACGUUGGACCAACGUUACUAUGUGAAUUACCUCUUUAGUACCCAACCAUGUUGGGUUUCUUACGUUGGGCCAACGUUGGUCCAACAUCAACUAAUUUCGUUUCGUUACAUUUUCUAAUGAAGUUGGGGUUCAAAGUUGGCCCACCGUUGGCCCAACGUUUGUAAUGCAACCUUAACCAAGUUGUCAACUUAAUCUGGUAGCAGUAUGUUGGCCCAACGUUGGCCCAAUGUAAGCUUGAGUGUUUGUUUUAAGUGUUCUUUUAUAGUUAGAGUAAGUACGUUGGGCCAAUGUUGGGCCAACAGUUGGACUGCAAACUAAAGUAGGAUGUGCAUGAGUUGGGAGCGUUACGUUGGCCCAACGUUGGCCCAGUGUUUGUCAUACACUAGGCUUUUAUGAAAAGAUCAUUUAGGCUGGUAAAACUACGCUGGCCCAACGUCGGUCCUAUGUAAGGGCAAGUGUUCUCUUCUAUGUCGGGAUGAGUACAUUGGUCCUAUGUUGGCCCAACAGAUAUUUACUUAUUAUAAGCGUAUUUAAUUUAAAGGGGGAUUUAGAUUCUAAGUAAGAGCACAUUCUUUGUCCAUGCAAUGAGAUUAACUUCUUCCAUAGCAAUGAGACAAAACUAAUUAAUUUAUUGAUGGCAGUAAUACCUUCCAUUUAUUAGUAUCCACUUAUCAAACAAUUUUCUCUAUAUAGUGUCUGUUUAUAAAUUUUGAAAUCUUAAUUAAGCUUAAAAUUUGAGCGUAAUUGUAAGAUUUGUUUCUCUCGUAUAGAAUUAACGUGAAUUCAUUAUAAAAGGAGACUGAAUAAAAGUUUUUCUUACAUUAGUAUACCCGGUAAUAUAGAAACGACUGAAUAAAAGUUUAAGCAUAUAAUAUGGAAACUAAAAGUUCCCAGGGACGGGAUGUGAAUGACGCAUAAAUCAAGAUAACUCAGUCAGCUUUAUAAUUGCAUUCAAACAAAAGUUAGGCGAGUCGCUAAAACUGAAAGAGUCGCAGCAAUUUAAACACCAAAAUAUGUGGAGAGCUGUCAAGUUUAAUUACUCACAUCUGGCUGAUAAACUCAAAAUACAGAGGAUGUUACAGUAAGGUUGGGAUUUUAAAAAUUCGGUGCACACAACGACUAACGGCUAAGUCCUAAAAGAAAUCUAUACAUUGUUCUUAGACGGGAAAAUGUGCUGUGUGCAUCAGAUAUAGAGAUUCAGCAGUUGUUAGAAACUGGUUCAUUGAUGACUAUGAAGAAGGAGGAAGAAAAUGGAAAAAGAAUUGAAUAUGUGAAAAACAAAUGCAAUCCGAACAUGACCAAAGAAUGAUGUUUCAAAUGUUCUUGGAUAAUACUAUUUGUGUCCUUAAACAAUACAGAUUGAUAAAAAUUGAAAUUCAAAUAUUGCCAAGUUGUGUUGUGAACUUUAAGCUCCUUUAUAUUCUAUUUAUGGGAUUUUACAAGUUUUUUUGUGAACAAAGGGAUGGUACCGGUUUUGGAAUUGAUGUGAGAUGAUGUUUGAAGAUAGCGUUUGCAAUUGAAAUUUCAACUGUCUCAUUAUAUUAAACGUUUUAGAUUUGACAGUGUGCCGAAUCAUGUCAAUCAUAGGUGCAAGUGAUACAGAGGAAGUGUGGAGUAUAUAUUCGACAUUUUGAAUCAUUUUAAGGCAGAAACAUGAAAGCAAGACGUAUUAUUAUACAACUGGAUAUUAAAAUUGUUUUAUGUGUAAACUCUGUAAGCUUUGGCAAAUGUUUUAUUUAAUUAUUAUUAUAAUAUUGAAACAGACUUAACAGAAUUUGUUAGAAACUAACAAAUAAAUUGUACAGUUUA